rnacentral:rRNA from 1 species
UACGUAGGGAGCAAGCGUUGUUCGGAAUUACUGGGCGUAAAGGGCUCGUAGGCGGCCAACUAAGUCCGACGUGAAAUCCCAAAGCUUAACUUUGGAACUGCGUCGGAUACUGGAUGGCUUGAAUUCGGGAGAGGGAUGCAGAAUUCCAGGUGUAGCGGUGAAAUGCGUAGAUAUCUGGAGGAAUACCGGUGGCGAAGGCGGCAUCCUGGACCGACAUUGACGCUGAGGAGCGAAAGCUAGGGGAGCAAACGGG